rnacentral:lncRNA from 1 species
UCUCGCCUUCUAUACUAAUCAUUGAUAUUAUGUUGAUAGUCCUAAGUAUAAAGCUAAGCUUUAUUACAACUGUCACAUAAACUUAACAUUAACCAAGAUAACUAAACAAAGACCAAUGAACCUUGAAAAAGAGGUCCAGGUCAGAUGAACCAUGCCAGGCAGACAGGUACAGCUAACAAUGCUUCUUUACAACAUAUAUAGUUGACACAUUACUUAUAGUUUAAGAAAAAUAGACCAAAACACAAAAACUUAACACUGUGCAAUGAACCGUGAAAAUGAGGUCACGGUUAAAUAAAACCUGCUCGACUGACAUAAAGAUCAUAAAAUAUUUCCAUACACCAAAUAUAGUUGACCUAUGGCAUAUAGCAUUAGAUAAAAAGACCAAAACUCAAAAACUUAACUUUGACCACUGAACCAUGAUAAUGAGGUCAAGGUCACAUGACAUCUGCCCGCUAGACAUGUACACUUAACAAUCAUUCCAUACAACAAAUAUAGUAGACCUAUUGCAUAUGGUAUGAGAAAAACAGACCAAAACACAAAAAUUUAACUAUAACCACUGAACCAUGAAAAUGAGGUCAAGGUCAGAUGACACCUGCCAGUUGGACAUGUACACCUUACAGUCCUUCCAUACACCGAAUAUACUAGUCCUAUUGCUUAUAGUAUCUGAGAUAUGGACUUGACCACCAAAACUUAACCUUGUUCACUGAUCCAUGAAAUGAGGUCGAGGUCAAGUGAAAACUGUCUGACAGACACGAGGACCUUGCAAGGUACGCACAUAUCAAAUAUAGUUAUCCUAUUACUUAUAAUAAGAGAGAAUUCAACAUUACAAAAAAUUUGAACUUUUUUUUUCAAGUGGUCACUGAACCAUGAAAAUGAGGUCAAGGACAUUGGACAUGUGACUGACGGAAACUUCGUAACAUGAAGCAUCUAUAUACAAAGUAUGAAGCAUCCAGGUCUU